UACGUAGGAUGCGAGCGUUAUCCGGAUUUAUUGGGUUUAAAGGGUGCGUAGGCGGACUGUCAAGUCAGCGGUAAAAUUGAGAGGCUCAACCUCUUCCCGCCGUUGAAACUGGUGGUCUUGAGUGGAUGAGAAGUACGCGGAAUGCGUGGUGUAGCGGUGAAAUGCAUAGAUAUCACACAGAACACCGAUUGCGAAGGCAUCUCACGAAUCCGCGAUUGACGCUGAUGCACGAAAGCGUGGGUAUCAAACAGG
rnacentral:rRNA from 1 species